GGGUUGUGAGGUUAAGCGAACAAGCGUACACGGUGGAUGCCCUGGCAGUCAGAGGCGAUGAAGGACGUGCUAAUCUGCGAAAAGCGCCGGUAAGGUGAUAUGAACCGUUAUAACCGGCGAUGUCCGAAUGGGGAAACCCGGUGCACUUCGGUGCAUCAUCGUUAGCUGAAUACAUAGGCUAACGAGGCGAACCGGGGGAACUGAAACAUCUAAGUACCCCGAGGAAAAGAAAUCAACCGAGAUUCCCCCAGUAGCGGCGAGCGAACGGGGAACAGCCCAGAGCCUGAAUCAGCUUGUGUGUCAGUGGAACGGUCUGGAAAGGCCGGCGAUACAGGGUGACAGCCCCGUACACGAAGGCACACAGGCUGUGAGCUCGAUGAGUAGGGCGGGACACGUGAUAUCCUGUCUGAAGAUGGGGGGACCAUCCUCCAAGGCUAAAUACUCCUGACUGACCGAUAGUGAACCAGUACCGUGAGGGAAAGGCGAAAAGAACCCCGGCGAGGGGAGUGAAACAGAACCUGAAACCGUGUACGUACAAGCAGUGGGAGCCUUCGUAAGAGGGUGACUGCGUACCUUUUGUAUAAUGGGUCAGCGACUUAUAUUCUGUAGCAAGGUUAACCGUAUAGGGGAGCCGAAGGGAAACCGAGUCUUAACCGGGCGUUAAGUUGCAGGGUAUAGACCCGAAACCCGGUGAUCUAGCCAUGGGCAGGUUGAAGGUUGGGUAACACUAACUGGAGGACCGAACCGACUAAUGUUGAAAAAUUAGCGGAUGACCUGUGGCUGGGGGUGAAAGGCCAAUCAAACCGGGAGAUAGCUGGUUCUCCCCGAAAGCUAUUUAGGUAGCGCCUCGUGAACUCAUCUCCGGGGGUAGAGCACUGUUUCGGCUAGGGGGCCAUCCCGGCUUACCAACCCGAUGCAAACUGCGAAUACCGGAGAAUGUUAUCACGGGAGACACACGGCGGGUGCUAACGUCCGUCGUGAAGAGGGAAACAACCCAGACCGCCAGCUAAGGUCCCAAAGUCAUGGUUAAGUGGGAAACGAUGUGGGAAGGCCCAGACAGCCAGGAUGUUGGCUUAGAAGCAGCCAUCAUUUAAAGAAAGCGUAAUAGCUCACUGGUCGAGUCGGCCUGCGCGGAAGAUGUAACGGGGCUAAACCAUGCACCGAAGCUGCGGCAGCGACACUAUGUGUUGUUGGGUAGGGGAGCGUUCUGUAAGCCUGUGAAGGUGUGCUGUGAGGCAUGCUGGAGGUAUCAGAAGUGCGAAUGCUGACAUAAGUAACGAUAAAGCGGGUGAAAAGCCCGCUCGCCGGAAGACCAAGGGUUCCUGUCCAACGUUAAUCGGGGCAGGGUGAGUCGACCCCUAAGGCGAGGCCGAAAGGCGUAGUCGAUGGGAAACAGGUUAAUAUUCCUGUACUUGGUGUUACUGCGAAGGGGGGACGGAGAAGGCUAUGUCGGCCGGGCGACGGUUGUCCCGGUUUAAGCGUGUAGGCUGACUUUCCAGGCAAAUCCGGAAGGUUAAGGCUGAGGCGUGAUGACGAGGCACCACGGUGCUGAAGUGACAAAUGCCCUGCUUCCAGGAAAAGCCUCUAAGCAUCAGGUAACAUCAAAUCGUACCCCAAACCGACACAGGUGGUCAGGUAGAGAAUACCAAGGCGCUUGAGAGAACUCGGGUGAAGGAACUAGGCAAAAUGGUGCCGUAACUUCGGGAGAAGGCACGCUGACAUGUAGGUGAAGCCCCUGCGGGUGGAGCUGAAGUCAGUCGAAGAUACCAGCUGGCUGCAACUGUUUAUUAAAAACACAGCACUGUGCAAACACGAAAGUGGACGUAUACGGUGUGACGCCUGCCCGGUGCCGGAAGGUUAAUUGAUGGGGUUAUCGCAAGAGAAGCUCCUGAUCGAAGCCCCGGUAAACGGCGGCCGUAACUAUAACGGUCCUAAGGUAGCGAAAUUCCUUGUCGGGUAAGUUCCGACCUGCACGAAUGGCGUAAUGAUGGCCAGGCUGUCUCCACCCGAGACUCAGUGAAAUUGAACUCGCUGUGAAGAUGCAGUGUACCCGCGGCAAGACGGAAAGACCCCGUGAACCUUUACUACAGCUUGACACUGAACAUUGAGCCUUGAUGUGUAGGAUAGGUGGGAGGCUUUGAAGCGUGGACGCCAGUCUGCGUGGAGCCGACCUUGAAAUACCACCCUUUAAUGUUUGAUGUUCUAACCUGGCGCCGUGAUCCGGCGUGGGGACAGUGUCUGGUGGGUAGUUUGACUGGGGCGGUCUCCUCCCAAAGUGUAACGGAGGAGCACGAAGGUCAGCUAAUCCUGGUCGGACAUCAGGAGGUUAGUGCAAUGGCAUAAGCUGGCUUGACUGCGAGAGUGACGGCUCGAGCAGGUGCGAAAGCAGGUCAUAGUGAUCCGGUGGUUCUGUAUGGAAGGGCCAUCGCUCAACGGAUAAAAGGUACUCCGGGGAUAACAGGCUGAUACCGCCCAAGAGUUCAUAUCGACGGCGGUGUUUGGCACCUCGAUGUCGGCUCAUCACAUCCUGGGGCUGAAGUAGGUCCCAAGGGUAUGGCUGUUCGCCAUUUAAAGUGGUACGCGAGCUGGGUUUAGAACGUCGUGAGACAGUUCGGUCCCUAUCUGCCGUGGGCGCUGGAGAAUUGAGGGGGGCUGCUCCCAGUACGAGAGGACCGGAGUGGACGCAUCACUGGUGUUCGGGUUGUCAUGCCAAUGGCACUGCCCGGUAGCUAAAUGCGGAAGAGAUAAGUGCUGAAAGCAUCUAAGCACGAAACUUGCCCCGAGAUGAGUUCUCCCUGAGACUGUAAGUCUCCUGAAGGAACGUUGAAGACGACGACGUUGAU
rnacentral:rRNA from 1 species